rnacentral:rRNA from 1 species
UUGAGUGACUGUAGUGGACUUAAAUACCACGAGGGCCCCAGAUCCCAUUUGAUCUGGGAAGCUAAGGAAAGUCUGGCCUGGUUAGUACUUUGGUGGGAGACUGCCAAGAAAGAUCAUGUGUUGCAAGCA